GCAUUGGUGGUUCAGUGGUAGAAUUCUAGCUUGCCAUGUUGGAGACCUGGGUUCGAUUCCCAGCACAAGCG
rnacentral:tRNA from 1 species